rnacentral:ncRNA from 1 species
ACUGUGGAGUGUACAAGAACUUGUGAGUAGCGUAUUGUUUUAUAAUUGCCAAAGCAUACACAUUGAAAGCAGUAA